GUGCCAGCCGCCGCGGUAAUACGUAGGUGGCAAGCGUUGUCCGGAUUUAUUGGGUUUAAAGGGUGCGUAGGCGGUUAUAUAAGUCAGUGCUGAAAUAUCCCGGCUUAACCGGGAGGGUGGCAUUGAUACUGUAUGACUUGAGUAAAGUUGAGGUUGGCGGAAUUGACGGUGUAGCGGUGAAAUGCUUAGAUAUCGUCAAGAACACCGAUUGCGAAGGCAGCUAACUAAGCUUUAACUGACGCUGAGGCACGAAAGUGUGGGGAUCAAACAGGAUUAGAAACCCUGGUAGUCC
rnacentral:rRNA from 1 species